rnacentral:tRNA from 1 species
GGGGCUGUAGCUCAGUUGGUAAGAGCAGUGUCCUGUCACGGCAAAGGUCGCGGGUUCAAAUCCCGUCAGCCCCGCCA